AUUGAUUAUUUUGUGACUGAGUGGCGGACGGGUGAGUAACGCGUGGGUAACCUGCCUUGUACAGGGGGAUAACAGUUGGAAACGGCUGCUAAUACCGAAUAAGUUCCAAGAGCCGCAUGGCCCAUGGAAGAAAAGGUGGCCUCUACCUGUAAGCUAUCGCCUGAAGAGGGGUUUGCGUCUGAUUAGCUGGUUGGAGGGGUAACGGCCCACCAAGGCGAUGAUCAGUAGCCGGUCUGAGAGGAUGAACGGCCACACUGGAACUGAGACACGGUCCAAACUCC
rnacentral:rRNA from 1 species